GUCACUUUGGCCGAGUGGUUAAGGCGCGCCCCUGCUAUACUCUCUUGCAUCCUUCGGACUGCUUAGAUCACCUAGCUAAUCAGGGCGUUUCUUCGGAAGCGUAGGUUCGAAUCCUGCAGGUGACG